rnacentral:rRNA from 1 species
CUGCACCUACGGGAGGCAGCAGUGGGGAAUAUUGCACAAUGGGGGAAACCCUGAUGCAGCGACGCCGCGUGAGUGAGGAAGUAUUUCGGUAUGUGAAGCUCUAUCAGCAGGGAAGAAAAUGACGGUACCUGACUAAGAAGCCCCGGCUAACUACGUGCCAGCAGCCGCGGUAAUACGUAGGGGGCAAGCGUUAUCCGGAUUUACUGGGUGUAAAGGGAGCGUAGACGGAGGAGCAAGUCUGAUGUGAAAAUCCGGGGCCCAACCCCGGAACUGCAUUGGAAACUGUUUAUCUACAGUGUAGACGG